rnacentral:miRNA from 1 species
CUGAACCCCUUAGGCACUCAAGUAAUUACCCUUCCAUCUGUCCUGAGUGAACUAGGCUUUUCCUAAAGACCUUUAUUAGUCAGUGAAGGAAAUGAAGGGAGCCAAGUCAGAUGUGAAAACAUUCCCAAU